rnacentral:rRNA from 1 species
CCUACGGGAGGCAGCAGUGAGGAAUAUUGGUCAAUGGCCGAGAGGCUGAACCAGCCAAGUCGCGUGAGGGAAGACGGCCCUACGGGUUGUAAACCUCUUUUGUCGGGGAGCAACGCGCGUCACGUGUGACUCAUUGAGAGUACCCGAAGACAAAGCAUCGGCUAACUCCGUUCCAGCAGCCGCGGUAAUACGGAGGAUGCGAGCGUUAUCCGGAUUUAUUGGGUUUAAGGGGUGCGCAGGCGGAGGUGCAAGUCAGCGGUCAAAUUGCGGGGCUCAACCCCGGACUGCCGUUGAAACUGCAGCCCUUGAGUGCGCGAGAAGUAGGCGGAAGGCGUGGUGUAGCGGUGAAAUGCAUAGAUAUCACGAAGAACUCCGAUUGCGAAGGCAGCAUACCGGCGCGCAACUGACGCUCAUGCACGAAAGCGUGGGUAUCGAACAGGAUUAGAUACCCUUGUAGUC